GAUUUCCCAAUUCGUAAGACCCCUGGAAGAACACCAGGUUGAUAGGCUCGGGGUGGAAGCGCGGCAACGUGUGCAGCUGACGAGUACUAAUCGGUCGAGGGCUUAUCCUAA
rnacentral:rRNA from 1 species